AUAUAAGUGGUCUCGAACUUGAGACUGAGGAGUGGGCCCGCCCGAGCCUGGACCAUCUCCUUUUUCCGCCAGCCUCAUCACAUCCAUGGCGAAGCCCUCCCCUUGAACUGCAAAUACCACAGCUGCUAGCCUGGCGGCCUGCUACCUCCAAGUCCAAGCCCCCCGCCUGAUGUAGGGCUAAUGGAGCGCGCACGCGGAGAUGCCCUCGCGGCGGAGCGAUCCGUCCAGGUAAAAUAACGGUUGUAUUCUGUCAGACUAAAUAUUAACUGAUAUGACCAAUAUGUCAUGCUAUUUACCAGUAUCUACUACUCUGGUUUCUUGAAAUGAUAUGAUAUAUUGGUCUCAUGCCUGUUGGGCAUGUGUUGAUACAACCUAGAGGGUUCGGGCCUUGGGGGCCUUGGGCUAUUGGCAUGUGCUGUAAAAUAUUGUAGGUAUUUGUUUUACUCAUCUCUAGAUGAUAAAAAAUUUGUUUGCUUAAACUUCAUCCUUUUAUCUUUUUGUAUUUUUAAUACUCAAUUGUCACCUCUUGAUGUGCAUUUAAUUUCCUGAUGCUUCCUUUGCCUAGAUUCAUAGUUACCGUAGAUUGAUCCAUCCUGUCUCUGGAUGGCCAUAACCAUUGCUAGCAGUACCCCUCUCUGCACGUGCUACAUACUCCACCAAAUUGCAGUGCAUAGUGUGCUGUAGUGCUGCUAUUUGUGUGGCCUAUGCCUACUAGCUCUCUUUUCUGUAGUAAGCUAGCAACAGAAAGUGCUAAAGAAUGUGUUGUGGUUUUCAAAUUUGUUUAGCUGCUAGGUCUUUAAUGGACCUGCUUGGUUGCUACAUGCUACCCUGCAUGUAUCAUGAUAUGGAUGUGAAGAUAGCACUGUAAUCGUAUUACCAUCUCGCCCUAUAAAAAUGACCUGUGUAGAAACUUGGUUCUGGCAAAUUGUUCAUACUUUUGUUUGCAUUUUUGUUUCCAUUUGAGCUAUUGGAGUACAAUCUUGUCUUAAUAUGUUAGUAUGCUAUUCUUAUAUAAAUCAAUAUGGUGCUGGUCCAUUUCAGAAUAGGAAGUACCUUGUAUAGGUUGAUAUCUGAUUGAAUUAACCUAGUAUUAUUUUGUUUGGAUAUGCAUCUGAUGGUAGAAAGCUAGAAAUCACAACUGCAUAACUUGUAAGUUUUCUCAAUGACUUGAUGUAUUAUGAAUAAAGAUUGUUCAUCCAUUUGUAUUUCUCCAGCACUGUUUUUCAUUGGCCAGAAUCAUGUUUUUGUUGAUUACCAUUAUUGCUUACAAUAUGGUCCUUGUUGUAUGUGAUUAUGCAAUAGUAAGCUUGGUGAUUCAUGUUUUGAAGCUUUGCAUGUCUAAGAUUCCCCCCCUUCUAAUUCACUUCUUAUCCAAAAUAAGUUAAGUGUGCUAUAUUUUGCUUUUCUUCAUAUUGUAAACUAUAUAAACAAAAUCAUCUUGACACUGGGCAGUGUCCUCUGUACACAUAGAUUCCGCCUAACCAGGGCUUGUGCUAAGAGCCUAAGCAUUUCUGUUUGUGGCAUAAGCAGUACUUAAAUUUGAGACUGAGUGAACAUUUUGGGUAGUAUAUGUAGUAUGGUGAACAUUGUGAGUUUGAAGUUGAAGAUCAUUGUACGAAAAUCAUCUGUUAUAUUCAGUACCUUGUGCAGCUUUUUUUUUUAUGCAUUUCAGAAGUUAUGCAUUUGUAUCCUUCCUGCUUAUAAUCAGCACAGGGUCAUAUUAUAUAUCGAAUGUGUUACCAACUAGUGUUGAACCUUAUCGGCUGCAUAUAUUUCAUAAUUAGAAUUCACAAGACACACGUUUUUUAUACCAAUAGAUACAUGGCAUGGAGUCUACUGUCUCUGAAUGGAUUACAAGCUGUGUUUGAGUGAUUUUCAAGCAACAUAAUAUGAAAAACUGGACUACAAAAUGUUAUGGUCAUGCAGAAAUUAUUGCAUCCAGAAGCAUUGAAGUUUAGCUGGUAGGUCCUGUAAUUCAACCCAAGAUUCUAGGUUGCUGAUCUCUUAGUUUUUGUCAUCGUCACUGCAAUUUAAAUCUGAUGCACUUUCAGUCAACUACCUCAACUCAUGUGCUAUGCUGAAUCUAUAUUUGAAUUUGAACAAGAACUCACCCCAGAGUUGGUGUUCCUGACUUCUCUGAAUCCACAUUCUGUGGCUGACUUAGCUCAAGAUUAACUGCAACAUCUUCAUCCUCCAAAUCCACAAUUCCGUGUUUAAUGGCAGUACCUGUCGGAUGCUCAUUAACUCCUUGUCCAUACACCUGAGAAACGAGAAAGAAAUGAUAUUAUGUGAUUCCAUAUACUGGUGUGUGGAUAAAAUGAGAUGAAAAAAAAAUCAUAUCUUGUAUAAGCUUCAUCUCUGUUUGGCAAUAUGUUGCUGGAUGCAUGCACCUUUUUCUUUAAUUCGGUGUUCUCUUGAUGAAUACGGUUGAGUUUGUUGUAUAGUUCGAUGUUUUCCUUGUGUACAAGGCUCCCCUACAAUCCAAAAAAAAUUGUGUAGUCAAGUAAAAUACAAUAGAACAAAUUAGUACUGCUAAGUAAGCUGUGCGAACAAACCUUUGUAUUUAAUUCUUGAAUUUGAUCAGUCAUAAGUUGGUCCUGUAAAAUAAACAUUCAAAAGUAACCAAGCCAUUAAUGUUUGUAUUCUGAAAGAACUAUAUGAUCAUGGUGAUGUCUCCACAGAUUGUGAUGUAACCUUCUUCAGGCGAAUAUUUCUUAGGCUCAUCUCCAGCGUAUUCUCUAAGUUUUGUAAGUCUUUUACAUCCAAGCCAGAAAGCUGUUGACCCAUCAAUUGCCUGCAGUGACAUAUUGUAUGGCAGAUCGUUUAGGCUUUUCUAAAAAUUCGCACGAUAUCGUAUAACUGUAUUUCAAGAUUUUUAAGAAAGCACUAAAUAAUUGUCUUUAUUUUGAACUUCUUUCAUUUUUAUUAUAUUUAAUACAAGUGAGUGCAAUUUGUUACUCAUUGAGUUUUCGAGAAAAAAAAUAAUUGUUGCUUGUGGACGUUUAGUGUAAGGAUUCCUCAAUUGCACUAUGCUGAAUUGGAAUGAACAGAUACAAACACUUUUGUGUGUGUGUGUGUGUGUGUGUGUGUGUGUGUGUGUGUGUGUGUGUGUGUGUGUGUGAGGAUCCCAAUUUAAUCAAGUAAAGAAAUAGAGCAGACUGUAGCUUAUUGGUAUAUUAGAAAAGGUUGAGGAGCCAUAGGAAAUUGCAGCACAUCUCAGUAUGGAUAAUUUACCUAAAUAUGAUAUGACUUAUUUGCUAACGAACACAAGUAGCAGAUUGAUAACUCCCUAGCUUGCCCUCACUAGAGGCUCUGAGCACCUAGGAACUAUCUAUCUGCCUAAUCCCCUCCUAUAGCCGCACAUUGGCUUAUAAAGAGAGUCCUAAGCAUAACAACUUAUCCCUAAAACUUAGCCAAGCCUAACAAUCGGCUGAAACAAACUCCAACCACUUAUUCUAAUUAUUUGUGGACACUGGCGCCUUCUUCCUGUGCUGGUAUUUCUUGCCAAAGAAAGUGUCCACAACAAAAUACCCAUAAAUUCAAACUUUGUUUUUGAUGACCUAAGCUUCCUGAAUUUAGCAGGAUAGAGUAAUCUCAUAACGAGCUGAUUAUUUGUUUUGGUUAAUUCCAUGGUGGAGCAUAAGAUGAAAAUUUGAUACCCCCCCCUCCCAACCAAUUGCUGUUUCCUCAGAAUGGGUAAAUUUGUUCAGUACUGAUCACUACCAUUAUUAUGCUAGAAAUAGGAAGCAAAAUGCAAUGAUACUCAUUAUGAUUUGCAAGUAUUGCAGGUUGGUUGAGGAUCAUACAGGUGAUGCUCUUGCAAGUUAUGCAUUUGCUGCCUCAGGAUUCCUGCCUCCCUUUGCCAAAGCUAGUAAGAGAGAGUUUUCAGUUAAUAUUGAUGAAAAACUUGCAGCCAUAUGUUGUGUAGGAACUCAAGAAAUAAUAAAUAAUAUGAAAUCAGACGCCACAAGGAUAUGUAAAUACAAUAUACAAUGCAUUGUUGUGAACUAGCAGUUCAUAUGAACAUUCAGAACAGUACAGGUGCUGAUGGGGUCUGCAUUUUAUCAGUUGCUGGCUUGGGCUCAGGGAGCCAAAUGAAUAGCAUGGUCUGCAUUCUGCAUUCUUCUAAACUAUUUUCUUUUUUUUGAGACUAUUCUUGGUUAUUAUGGUUUCAUGCUACUUGGAAACAAAUCGAGAAGUGAUGUCUUGGUGCUUCCAGGUUAUUGUUGUUAGCACUUAAACCAUGGUUGAUUAGAACCACCUUUUUCCUGACUGCAAUUGUCAAUAGUUCAGAGUCAAUACAUGAUGCUAUGAAAGUUCUGGAGGAUGAAGGUAGGAUAGGGAGAAACAUUUGUUUCGGUGCUUGUUACUUAUGCCAGCAGAGUUAGUAGAUAUAGCUCAUGAUGCUUCAUUUGCACCAUUUUAAUAUUUCAUAGCAUUGAAGUCAUCAACAGAUCGAUGAUACAGUGAUCAGGAUCAUCUGUCUGAUCGAUGAUCUAAUGGUUACUAAGAGCAGACACGGUUGCUGAGCAUUCAAGUUUCUUCUGCUUAUUAUUUAUGAAUCAGUUAUGCUAAGGGAUGCUAUUUUUGCUAAUGCAUGGUGCUCUAUUUGUCAGAAAUCAAGUAUCAACUGCAUACUGCCUAUGCGCUAUUGUUUAUCUGGAAGCUCAUUUGUGUUCCUCAGAUUUUAGUUCGUAAAGCGGAUGAUUCCACUUCCCUUUGAGAUAAUCAAAACCGUACCCUGUCAGCUCAUUCCAUUUCAACCUGUGGAUUGUAAUACAAGUUUGUACUGCAUCCUGUUUGAUUUUACCUUCCCAGAGAAAGGGGUCUACAUUCUUUUGAUUACUUGGCAAUGUGUUGGACUUCGUGUUAUUAAGCAAUGUGUUUGUAGCCAGAAAGCCACUUCCCUAGUCUGAUUACCCUGUUAGCGCAGAAAUUUCAGGGUGCCUAAAGUACAGGUUUUAUUAUUGUGUACUGGUAAGUUAUUAGAAUGCCAUUGUGAGAAUAAAACUGGUUAGCAUUUUAAAAUAUUA